ACUCAUUGGGUCGAAGCCACCCAUUUGACAAUCCACAGUCCAACAUCGUUGCUCAUCGUCCUACCUAGGACUCAUGACCCCUACGACAUGCGAUCUCAACCUCCGAGGCUCUGUGCGCGUGUGGCUCUCCUUCAUAUCUACAUCAAUGGCGGCGUCGAUCUUGUUGCAAAUUUGUUUUUGAUUUGGGGGUUUCUGGGUUUGGGGAGGGGGGAGGAAGAGAGACAAUGGAUGUAUUUUUAUUGUCAUUACAGUGUUGCACCCAUCGCUUUGCCAUCAAUUUUUUUUUUUUUUUG
rnacentral:lncRNA from 1 species